rnacentral:pre_miRNA from 1 species
AUACUACUCCCUCCGUCCCAUAUUAAGUGACUUUCUAUUACAUGUAUAUAGACGCUUUUUAGGUAUAGAUACAUCCAUGUUUGGACAAAUUUGAGUCACUUAUUUUGGGACGGAGGGAGUGCUUA